GAAGUUUAAGAAGCCUAGUGAUGACAUCAAUGGCGACAUGGCUAGCUUGUCCACUCUGUUUGCAAACAGGAAAAAAAGGACACUUUAUGAAGGGUGAUGCCGUCAUUGUUAUUAAAGGCGAUUUGAAAAAUCUAGAGGGUUGGGUUGAGAAAGUAGAGGAUGAAACCGUUCACAUCAGGCCAAAAAUAUCUGAUCUCUCGAAAACAUUAGCCUUCAAUGAAAAGGAGCUUUGCAAAUAUUUCAAGCCUGGUGACCAUGUCAAGGUGAUCUCAGGAGUUCAAGAAGGUGCUACUGGCAUGGUUGUUAAAGUGGAAGGGCAUGUCUUGAUCAUUUUGUCUGACACAACUAAA